UACGUAGGGACCAAGCGUUGUUCGGAUUUACUGGGCGUAAAGGGCGCGUAGGCGGCUUGACAAGUCACUUGUGAAAUCUCCGGGCUUAACUCGGAACGGCCAAGUGAAACUGUCAUGCUAGAGUGCAGAAGGGGCAAUCGGAAUUCUUGGUGUAGCGGUGAAAUGCGUAGAUAUCAAGAGGAACACCUGAGGUGAAGACGGGUUGCUGGGCUGACACUGACUCUGAGGCGCGAAAGCCAGGGGAGCAAACGGG
rnacentral:rRNA from 1 species